UACGUAGGGACCAAGCGUUGUUCGGAUUUACUGGGCGUAAAGGGCGCGUAGGCGGCGUGGUAAGUCAGCUGUGAAAUCUCCGAGCUUAACUCGGAACGGUCAGCUGAUACUGCUGUGCUAGAGUACAGAAGGGGCAAUCGGAAUUCUUGGUGUAGCGGUGAAAUGCGUAGAUAUCAAGAGGAACACCUGAGGUGAAGACGGGUUGCUGGGCUGAUACUGACGCUGAGGCGCGAAAGCUAGGGGAGCAAACGGG
rnacentral:rRNA from 1 species